AUUGAACGCUGGCGGAAUGCUUUACACAUGCAAGUCGAGCGGCAGCACGGGGGCAACCCUGGUGGCGAGCGGCGAACGGGUGAGUAAUACAUCGGAACAUGCCCAGUCGUGGGGGAUAACACUUCGAAAGAAGUGCUAAUACCGCAUACGUCCUGAGGGGGAAAGCGGGGGGUCGCAAGACCUCGCGCGAUUGGAGUGGCCGAUGUCAGAUUAGCUAGUUGGUGGGGUAAAGGCCUACCAAGGCAACGAUCUGUAGCUGGUCUGAGAGGAUGAUCAGCCACACUGGGACUGAGACACGGCCCAGACUCCUACGGGAGGCAGCAGUGGGGAAUUUUGGACAAUGGGGGCAACCCUGAUCCAGCCAUUCCGCGUGAGUGAAGAAGGCCUUCGGGUUGUAAAGCUCUUUCGGCAGGAACGAAACGGUGAGCUCUAACAUAGCUUGCUAAUGACGGUACCUGAAGAAGAAGCACCGGCUAACUACGUG
rnacentral:rRNA from 1 species